GCCACCGGGGUCCCUGUGAAGAGACAGGAAGAAGGAGAAGCAAGCGUGGGUGCCAGGAGCUGGAGGGAAGCAGAAAAGGGGUUUGGGAAAAUGAAAAAGUUCUUGGACAGACGAUAAUGGCUACACAAUGAGAAUGUACUUAAUGCUGCUGAAAUGUGCACUUAAAAUGGUUAAGACCAGCCUUGGCAACACAGGGAGACCCCAUCUAAAAAAGUUAGCUGGCUGUGGUAGUGUAUGGGUGUGGUCCCAGCUGCUUGGGAGCGGGAGGAUCACUUGAGACCAGGAGCCUGAGUUUGCAGUAAGCUGUGAUCAAGCCACUGUGCUCCAGCCCCGUCUCUAAAAGACAUGGUUUAAGAUGGUCAAGUUUUGUAGCAUGUGUUAUCACAAUACAGAAGAAUGCACUGAAACUGAA